GAACGCUGGCGGCUGCCUUACACAUGCAAGUCGAACGGCAGCACGGGUGCUUGCACCUGGUGGCGAGUGGCGAACGGGUGAGUAAUACAUCGGAACAUGUCCUGUAGUGGGGGAUAGCCCGGCGAAAGCCGGAUUAAUACCGCAUACGAUCUACGGAUGAAAGCGGGGGACCUUCGGGCCUCGCGCUAUAGGGUUGGCCGAUGGCUGAUUAGCUAGUUGGUGGGGUAAAGGCCUACCAAGGCGACGAUCAGUAGCUGGCCUGAGAGGACGACCAGCCACACUGGGACUGAGACACGGCCCAGACUCCUACGGGAGGCAGCAGUGGGGAAUUUUGGACAAUGGGCGAAAGCCUGAUCCAGCAAUGCCGCGUGUGUGAAGAAGGCCUUCGGGUUGUAAAGCACUUUUGUCCGGAAAGAAAUCCUUGGUUCUAAUAUAGCCGGGGGAUGACGGUACCGGAAGAAUAAGCACCGGCUAACUACGUGCCAGCAGCCGCGGUAAUACGUAGGGUGCGAGCGUUAAUCGGAAUUACUGGGCGUAAAGCGUGCGCAGGCGGUUUGCUAAGACCGAUGUGAAAUCCCCGGGCUCAACCUGGGAACUGCAUUGGUGACUGGCAGGCUAGAGUAUGGCAGAGGGGGGUAGAAUUCCACGUGUAGCAGUGAAAUGCGUAGAGAUGUGGA
rnacentral:rRNA from 1 species